GGCCAGUUAGCUCAGUUGGUUAGAGUGUGGUGCUGGUAACACCAAGGCCCAGGUUUCAAUCCCUGUACCAGCCA